rnacentral:rRNA from 1 species
CCUGGUUGAUUCUGCCAGUAGUCAUAUGCUUGUCUCAAAGAUUAAGCCAUGCAUGUCUAAGUAUAAGCAAUCAUACUGUGAAACUGCGAAUGGCUCAUUAAAUCAGUUAUCGUUUAUUUGAUAGUACCUUUACCUGGAUAACCGUGGUAAUUCUAGAGCUAAUACAUGCUAAAAACCCCGACUUCGGAAGGGGUGUAUUUAUUAGAUAAAAAACCAAUGCCCUCUGGGCUCUUUGGUGAUUCAUAAUAACUUAACGAAUCGCAUGGCCUUGCGCCGGCGAUGGUUCAUUCAAAUUUCUGCCCUAUCAACUUUCGAUUGUAAGAUAGAGGCUUACAAUGGUAUUAACGGGUAACGGGGAAUUAGGGUUCUAUUCCGGAGAGGGAGCCUGAGAAACGGCUACCACAUCCAAGGAAGGCAGCAGGCGCGCAAAUUACCCAAUGCUAAUUCAGCGAGGUAGUGACAAUAAAUACUGAUACGGGGCUCUUUCGGGUCUCGUAAUUGGAAUGAGUACAAUCUAAAUCCCUUAACGAGGAACAAUUGGAGGGCAAGUCUGGUGCCAGCAGCCGCGGUAAUUCCAGCUCCAAUAGCGUAUAUUAAAGUUGUUGCCGUUAAAAAGCUCGUAGUUGAACCUUGGACCUGGCUGAUCUGUCCUCCUAAUCGAGCGCACGGAUUCGGUCGGGUCUUUCCUUCUGGGGAGCCCUAUGCCCUUCACUGGGUGUAGUGGGGAACCAGGACUUUUACCUUGAAAAAAUUAGAGUGUUCAAAGCAGGCCUUUGCUCGAAUACAUUAGCAUGGAAUAAUAGAAUAGGACAUCGGUUCUAUUUUGUUGGUUUCUAGGACCGCUGUAAUGAUUAAUAGGGAUAGUCGGGGGCGUCAGUAUUCAAUCGUCAGAGGUGAAAUUCUUGGAUUUAUUGAAGACUAACUACUGCGAAAGCAUUUGCCAAGGAUGUUUUCAUUAAUCAGUGAACGAAAGUUAGGGGAUCGAAGACGAUCAGAUACCGUCGUAGUCUUAACCAUAAACUAUGCCGACUAGGGAUCGGACGGUGGUUUUUUUAUGCCCCGUUCGGCACCUUACGAGAAAUCAAAGUUUUUGGGCUCGGGGGGGAGUAUGGUCGCAAGGCUGAAACUUAAAGAAAUUGACGGAAGGGCACCACCAGGCGUGGAGCCUGCGGCUUAAUUUGACCCAACACGGGGAAACUCACCAGGUCCAGACA